rnacentral:rRNA from 1 species
UACAGAGGUCUCAAGCGUUGUUCGGAUUCAUUGGGCGUAAAGGGUGCGUAGGCGGCGCGGUAAGUCGGGUGUGAAAUCUCGGAGCUUAACUCCGAAACUGCAUUCGAUACUGCCGUGCUUGAGGACUGGAGAGGAGACUGGAAUUCCCAGUGUAGAGGUGAAAUUCGUAGAUAUUGGGAAGAACACCGGUGGCGAAGGCGGCGACCUGGUCCGAUACUGACGCUGAGGCGCGAAAGCGUGGGGAGCAAACAGG